rnacentral:rRNA from 1 species
GAUGAACGCUGGCGGCGUGCCUAAUACAUGCAAGUCGAGCGAACGGACGAGAAGCUUGCUUCUCUGAUGUUAGCGGCGGACGGGUGAGUAACACGUGGAUAACCUACCUAUAAGACUGGGAUAACUUCGGGAAACCGGAGCUAAUACCGGAUAAUAUUUUGAACCGCAUGGUUCAAAAGUGAAAGACGGUCUUGCUGUCACUUAUAGAUGGAUCCGCGCUGCAUUAGCUAGUUGGUAAGGUAACGGCUUACCAAGGCAACGAUGCAUAGCCGACCUGAGAGGGUGAUCGGCCACACUGGAACUGAGACACGGUCCAGACUCCGCGGGAGGCAGCAGUAGGGAAUCUUCCGCAAUGGGCGAAAGCCUGACGGAGCAACGCCGCGUGAGUGAUGAAGGUCUUCGGAUCGUAAAACUCUGUUAUUAGGGAAGAACAUAUGUGUAAGUAACUGUGCACAUCUUGACGGUACCUAAUCAGAAAGCCACGGCUAACUACGUG